rnacentral:rRNA from 1 species
AUUGAACGCUGGCGGCAGGCUUAACACAUGCAAGUCGAACGAGUGGCGGACGGGUGAGUAAUGUCUGGGAAACUGCCUGAUGGAGGGGGAUAACUACUGGAAACGGUAGCUAAUAACGCAUACCAUCAGAUGUGCCCAGAUGGGAUGAGCUAGUAGGUGGGGUAAAGGCUCCCCUAGGCGACGAUCCCUAGCUGGUCUGAGAGGAUGACCAGCCAUAAUGGAACUGAGACACGGUCCAGACUCCUACGGGAGGCAGAAGUGGGGAAUAUUGCACAAGGGGCGCAAGACUGAUGCAGCCAUGCCGCGUGUGUGAAGAAGGCCUUCGGGUUGUAAAGCACUUUCAGCGAGGAGGCGUUACCCGCAGAAGAAGCACCGGCUGACUCCGUGCCAGCAGCCGCGGUAAUAC